GAGGGUGAUCGGCCACAUUGGAACUGAGACACGGUCCAAACUCCUACGGGAGGCAGCAGUGGGGAAUAUUGCACAAUGGGCGAAAGCCUGAUGCAGCAACGCCGCGUGAGUGAUGAAGGCCUUCGGGUCGUAAAACUCUGUCCUCAAGGAAGAUAAUGACGGUACUUGAGGAGGAAGCCCCGGCUAACUACGUGCCAGCAGCCGCGGUAAUACGUAGGGGGCUAGCGUUAUCCGGAUUUACUGGGCGUAAAGGGUGCGUAGGCGGUCUUUCAAGUCAGGAGUGAAAGGCUACGGCUCAACCGUAGUAAGCUCUUGAAACUGGGAGACUUGAGUGCAGGAGAGGAGAGUGGAAUUCCUAGUGUAGCGGUGAAAUGCGUAGAUAUUAGGAGGAACACCAGUUGCGAAGGCGGCUCUCUGGACUGUAACUGACGCUGAGGCACGAAAGCGUGGGGAGCAAACAGGAUUAGAUACCCUGGUAGUCCACGCUGUAAACGAUGAGUACUAGGUGUCGGGGGUUACCCCCCUCGGUGCCGCAGCUAACGCAUUAAGUACUCCGCCUGGGAAGUACGCUCGCAAGAGGGAAACUCAAAGGAAUUGACGGGGACCCG
rnacentral:rRNA from 1 species